UAGGGAAUAUUGCACAAUGGGCGCAAGCCUGAUGCAGCAACGCCGCGUGCCCGAUGAAGGCCUUCGGGUUGUAAAGGGCUUUUCUGGAGGAAGAGGAAGGACGGUACUCCAGGAAGAAGGAUCGGCUAACUACGUGCCAGCAGCCGCGGUAACACGUAGGAUCCGAGCGUUAUCCGAAUUUACUGGGCGUAAAGCGCAUGCAGGCGGCUGGGUAAGUUGGACGUGAAAGCUCCUGGCUCAACUGGGAGAGGUCGUUCAAGACUGCCUGGCUAGAGGGCGGUAGAGGGAGGUGGAAUUCCCGGUGUAGUGGUGAAAUGCGUAGAGAUCGGGAGGAACACCAGUGGCGAAAGCGGCCUCCUGGGCCGCACCUGACGCUCAGAUGCGAAAGCUAGGGGAGCGAACGGG
rnacentral:rRNA from 1 species